UUUGGUCAUCAUUGCGAUGGAGAUACACCUGUUCCCAUGUCGAACACAGAAGUUAAGUCCAUCUACGGCGGAAGUACUUGGGGGUUGCCCCUU
rnacentral:rRNA from 1 species